rnacentral:rRNA from 1 species
UACGUAGGGUGCAAGCGUUAAUCGGAAUUACUGGGCGUAAAGCGUGCGCAGGCGGCUAUGCAAGACAGAUGUGAAAUCCCCGGGCUCAACCUGGGAACUGCAUUUGUGACUGCAUAGCUAGAGUACGGUAGAGGGGGAUGGAAUUCCGCGUGUAGCAGUGAAAUGCGUAGAUAUGCGGAGGAACACCGAUGGCGAAGGCAAUCCCCUGGACCUGUACUGACGCUCAUGCACGAAA